rnacentral:rRNA from 1 species
UACGGAGGGUGCGAGCGUGGUCCGGAAUCACUGGGCGUAAAGGGCGCGUAGGCGGCGCGGGCAGUCAACGGUGAAAGCUUGGGGCUCAACCCCGAGUCGGCCGUCGAUACUCCCGGGCUGGAGCACUGUAGAGGCAGGUGGAAUUCCGGGUGUAGCGGUGGAAUGCGUAGAGAUCCGGAAGAACACCGGUGGCGAAGGCGGCCUGCUGGGCAGUAGCUGACGCUGAGGCGCGACAGCGUGGGGAGCAAACAGG